ensembl:snRNA U4 U4 spliceosomal RNA
AGCUUUGCGCAGUGGCAGUAUCGUAGCCAAUGAGGUUUAUCCGAGCUGUGAUUAUUGCUAAUUAGAAAUGAGGCAGCUGCUCCACCCAUUUGCAACUCUUCCCACUAAGUGGGCGCUGUGUGUCUUUUAGGCUUACUCCAACCUACUGAGAGCUAACAUGGAUGGGCUGAAGAAGAGGGACAAAAAGAGCAAGAGU